rnacentral:rRNA from 1 species
UGGGGAAUAUUGGACAAUGGGCGCAAGCCUGAUCCAGCCAUGCCGCGUGAGUGAUGAAGGCCCUAGGGUUGUAAAGCUCUUUCACCGGUGAAGAUAAUGACGGUAACCGGAGAAGAAGCCCCGGCUAACUUCGUGCCAGCAGCCGCGGUAAUACGAAGGGGGCUAGCGUUGUUCGGAUUUACUGGGCGUAAAGCGCACGUAGGCGGACUUUUAAGUCAGGGGUGAAAUCCCGGGGCUCAACACCGGAACUGCCUUUGAUACUGGAAGUCUUGAGUAUGGUAGAGGUGAGUGGAAUUCCGAGUGUAGAGGUGAAAUUCGUAGAUAUUCGGAGGAACACCAGUGGCGAAGGCGGCUCACUGGACCAUUACUGACGCUGAGGUGCGAAAGCGUGGGGAGCAAACAGG